AGUGAACGCUGGCGGCGUGCUUAACACAUGCAAGUCGAACGGUAACAGGAACUAGCUUGCUAGUUUGCUGACGAGUGGCGCACGGGUGAGUAAUAUAUAGUUAAUGUACCCCAAAGACUGGGAUAGCCACUGGAAACGGUGAUUAAUACUAGAUACACCUCUUUAAUAUAAGUUAGAGAGGGAAAUGUCUUUUCGCUUUGGGAUCAGACUAUAUCCUAUCAGUUAGUUGGUGAGGUAAUGGCUCACCAAGGCAAUGACGGGUAGCGGUUCUGAGAGGAUGAUCCGCCACACUGGUACUGAGACACGGACCAGACUCCUACGGGAGGCAGCAGUGAGGAAUAUUGCACAAUGGGGGGAACCCUGAUGCAGCAACGCCGCGUGGAGGAUGACGCAUUUCGGUGUGUAAACUCCUUUUAUAUGUCAAGAAAAUGACGGUAGCAUAUGAAUAAGCACCGGCUAACUCCGUGCCAGCAGCCGCGGUAAAGUA
rnacentral:rRNA from 1 species